rnacentral:lncRNA from 1 species
ACCAGUAGCUCUGUGGUAGCAAUAGCCGUGAGCAGCUCUGACAAGGUUCGAAAUGCCCGAAACUUGCACUAAGCCGGGUCUUGAAAAAUUCGCCUAGGUUUGUUUUUGUUUAAUUAUUGGUAGUCUUCUAAAAAUUAGCUUAUUUUUGGAUAUGAUUUCAUGAUAUUAUCAUCAAUAAUAGUUGAUAAUCUUCUUCUAAGCAUGAAUAUUAAGAUCCUAUGAACAUUUGCUCUAUAAUCGCAUAUUCGGGUUGAUUCAAAUUUUUGCUCAUAUUUUCAUCAUUUUAUUAUAUGCAUGUAUAUGUUUGUGUUCUUGUUAGAUGGGUAUUAUCUAGUUUCCUAUGAUUUUGAAAGGACCCCUUAACUAAGUUUUUCUAUUAAUUAUUUUUUUGUUUUUACUUAUAAUUUUGUACAUUCUCUAUUAAUAAUAAAGUGUUAAUGGUAAGGGAUUGCUGCAAGAAUUGGAUAAGUUGAUUAAUGAUUUCUAUAAUUGCUCAUGAACAGAUUUCUCCUUUACAAAUUAUGGAUGAUUACUAAUAUAUCCUUCUUGCCUUAGUUUUGAAGAAGAUAGGCAUAUUUUACAUGGUAAGAAUAUAUUCUUGAUAAUUGGUAAAAAGUUGAUUAAUUCACAUGUUUAUUUGACUAAUAUUUCUUUAUUCAUAUUACCUUUAAUUAAGAGCAGAUUCUUACUUGUAACAUGAUGGUAAAGUAUAUAUAUAAUUUGUAUGUGAAUAUUUCUUUCCUUACUUUCUUUUAUAUAGCAUUAAUUGGAUAUCCUCAAUUGUUUAUUUGCUUAUCUCAAAUAAAUUAAAAUAUAGUUUUUACUUGCUUUAUUUUGGUAAAAUUGUGAAUUAUUAUGGUAAAAUAUUUCAUUGAUUUGGUAAUGUUUUAUCUAAGAAAAUUAUAUUAUCCUUUCUAAAUUUUAUUUCUUACUUGCUUUCUCUCUUAAAAUAAGAAUAAUAUUAAGUGAUCACUUUUUCCAUUAAUAGUUGACUUGACUAGUUUUCACUUGUUUAUAUAUGACUUUAAUUUUUUUCCUUGUAAUAUUUAGUUGCUCAUAUAUAUUUGUAAAAUAUAUUUUUAUUCCUAAUUUUUCUUAUUUUUGGUAAUAAAAUAUUCUUAAAUUUUUUGAUUUUAGCUCUUCUUUAUCUAAGGAAAAAAUAUUAUUACUUUCUCUUAAUUUAUUCUUACUUGCUUAUAUUUGGUAAAAAAUAAUUAAUUUUUUUUCUACUUUUGGCUCUCCUUUAAAAUAAGGAAAUUGUGAUUAAUUGAUUCCUUUAUAUAUUUCUCUUCCUUAGUUAUUUCCUCCUCUUUGCCAUUAAAACAAGACCCUCCUCUCAUUUACUGAUUCACUCACAUUGACUCUCUAACAAGUUUCUCUCACACACUCACAUCUUGAGAAGAACUCACAUUCUCCAAACUCACACUAAACUCAUUCAUUCGCUCUCUCAAAACAAGAACUAGACUCUUCACUCUCUCAUUGGUAUCUUGCUACUCUAAAAAAUAAAUAAAUUAAGAUUGCGGUAAAACAUUCAAGUGCUCUUCUUUGCUACUUUGCUCUUUUGUUUUUGUUCAAAUAAAAGUUGGAUCAACUUGUUUUCAUUGCUACUAUUUCUUUUCUGCUUAACCGGUUAGUAUUCUUAAUUAGCAUUUUACUAUUAGUCAGCCCUCUAUUUUUUUUCAUUUUUUAUUUUGCAUCUAUUAUUAUUUUUGUGUGUUGGUAAUAAAAGGAAACACUUCUUAUCUUUUGCCCCUAUGUGUGUUGAUAUGUCUAUGCCUAUGUUUUGUCCUUUUUAUUUCUUAUGUGUUGCUUAUAUAUGUAUGUAUGCGAGUAUGCCUAUGUUUUGUCCUUUUUAUUUCUUAUGUGUUGCUUAUAUAUGUAUAUAUGCGAGUAAUUUGUUACUAUGAAUAUUUUACAUUAGAAUCAUUCUUCCAUUGUAUAUUUGUUACCUUACUUAUUCUAGCAGGUUUUGGACUUAAAGUUAAAGAUGAUGAAGAGUGGCCUAGAAGAAAUUUCGGACAAAGCUUUGUUUGUUUUAAUGUUGUGUAUAUUUUUAUCUGUUAUUUUUAUUACAACAUGUGUAUAACUCUAAAGCAACUCUUAUGUAUGAAACAAUUUUGGGGAUCGCCUAGGGAGGGGGAAUUAUGUGUUAAAUAUCUUCUUUUUCUUAUUUUCAUCAAACUUAUUUGUGUUAGAAAGCAUGCCUAUAGGUUCAUAAUUUAUUUUUUGAUAAAUUUUUAUGUGGUAAAGUAAUUUUUAGAUCUAACCAUAAAAAAAAAUAUAAAAUGAAUCAACUUUGCUCAAUCAUUUAGUUUAACUUUGCUCAAUUAAUGUUUGAAAUUAAUUUUAUCCAAAUUGACGUGUUAAGUAAUGAGUUAUGAUUAAUUUGCUAAAAUGUUAAUAACUUAUGUGCAUUUUA